ACUCUUCAACCCACCGGUUCCUUGUUGGAUCGAGUUGGUGUUUGGAUCUUGAGCGUUGCUGGCUUGAUCUUUUAGUAGUGAAAGCGAAGCUCGUUCGUAAUACAUUAGCAUCUCAAUUACGAAACUCGGAUUGACUCAGCGUUAUAGACUAUUCGCUGAGGACACUAUACUUUACUGUAUUCUGGCCGAAUUAGUUAACUAGAAGCUUCUAAUCUCCCCUAGUCAAAACUAUUAG
rnacentral:misc_RNA from 1 species